CAGUAGCCGCGGUAAUACGUAGGGUGCAAGCGUUAAUCGGAAUUACUGGGCGUAAAGCGUGCGCAGGCGGUUAUAUAAGACAGAUGUGAAAUCCCCGGGCUCAACCUGGGAAUGGCAGUGGAUACUGGCUCGCUAGAGUGUGUCAGAGGAUGGUGGAAUUCCCGGUGUAGCGGUGAAAUGCGUAGAGAUCGGGAGGAACAUCAGUGGCGAAGGCGGCCAUCUGGGACAACACUGACGCUGAGGCACGAAAGCGUGGGGAGCAAACAGGAUUAGAUACCCCCGUAGUCCCUGUCUCUUAUAC
rnacentral:rRNA from 1 species